GAUCCACCUCUGCAAUGACAGUGUGCAGUUGUGGCCCUUAGCGGAACUCUUCAUAUCUGUUUGUAGCGAAGACAACAGACGAACAGUGAAGCGAUUUACCUGCAAUUCUCCUGAAACCCUCCUUGACUUUGGUAGCCAUUUCAUCGACGGGGAAUUGUAUCAAAUUGAUAAAAACAUCAAUAAUGGCCUUGGCAACAGAUUUAACUGCCCUUCCAGCGCUGCACUCAGAAACAUUUAAACUGUCUCCAAUAAGACGUAAGUGUGCUCCUGUAGCCACGAAACGUAAAAACAACAAGACUUUGAUAAGUGGGGGAAUAGCCCGAUUUCUGGCAGUGUCUGAUUGAAGUCUCUCGCCGAUUCCAUCAAUAAUGAAAUAUAUAUUUGCUGGCGUGAAACGGUAUCUCUGGAAGAUAUCUUCCUCUUCUAAACUCUCUAAGGGAUUACUGAGGUCCCGAAAUACACGGGAGCGCCUUAAAACCGGCAGAUUCUGCCUACGACGACGUCGACGCCUUACCAUGGCAGCCAUUUUCAAUCCUUGAGAAUAUUCUUAAGUCUGCAUUUUUGUAGACUCAAAUAUUUGAGAAUAAAACAGACUUUGAGAA